CGUUAAAACACCCGUUCCCGUAUGAUCACUGAAGUUAAGCAGUGUCAAGCCUGGUAAGUAACUAGAUGAGUGACCACAUGGAAAUACCAGAUGCUGUAAG